GGUUUCCCUUCAGUAGAAAAUUGCUGGACAGGCGGACCAGCGCACCGGAAUUGUACUGGCGAAUCCACAAGCAAGUCAUAGAAUCUGUGUAAUUGUUGCACUUUGAACAAUCAUGCUUCCACAAAGGCCACAGUAGAAAAACAGCCCGAUGCCGAGUAUUUGUGUACCACGAAGCAAUCAAGAGGCGAGUGCCUAAUACAGACGAAAUCGAGUGCAUGAACCCACAUAUUAAUAGCGUAGGCCUUUUAUUAACUGUGCAAUAUUUUCAACACUUCCUUGCAUGCCAUUUCAUGUGGCAUAUCUGUUCUGGUCACAAAUUUGUGCAGCGAAUCUAUUUUCAUGAUCGACUCCGGCCUGUGGGACCGUUCACUUGCACUUGACGCUGAGUCUUUUACAUGUAUCUAUAAACUGCAGAUAUGCACAUCAGAUCCCUACGAGCAUUUUCAAAAUUUAAUUAUUUUAGACAACAGGCACAUAUGCAAUACUGACACAAUAUCAAAUACCACUAAGCAGCUGGGACACAUUUUUGUUGACCAUACUCGCAGGUAAAAUAAGUAGAUCAUGUGGACAGCUCCAGCUGAUUUUCCUGAAAUCAGUGUGCAAGGGGUAUGCAAAAAAAAAUUUUUCUCGCGCACCGAUUAUUUUGCUCUAUAAGCUAAAGAACCCGCCAUGUUAGUGUAACGUGUCUUGUACAUCACACUAAUAUGUGCUUUAAUUUACCAAGUGAAAUGAGUUACUUUUAUGGCUCAUUCAGUCAAAUCACACUGCAAGCUGCAUUCAUCAAUCUUCAAUUGGAUUUUGCAAAUGUUUAAUGAAACAUGUUUCCCUGUAAUGCAUAUAUGCAAUGGCAAGCCCUUCCGUGUGUUCCAAGGACAAUGCCUUUGCCUAGCCACAGCAGCUCCCUCAUACAGACUCCGCAAUCCAAGAGGCCGUGGAGGCAAAUGCAGGUAAGAGGCAAGAAGCAAUAGCACUGGUAUCAACAUUCAUCUAAUUUCUUUCUUUUUCUUUCGUUUAGGCAGCCAGCACACCUCGAACAGCCACCUUGACUGCGGGUGUGUCACCCUAGUCGCCAAGGAAACAUUUGAGGGAAAGCGACCGGCAAUGUGCACAGCCACUUCUCCAUGUAAACGAUGCUCGUUCUCUCGGAUGACUCCUACGCCUCGCCACGCCAGCUCACUUGUGCACGAAGGUGCCGCAGAGGCACGUGCAGGUCAGAGGCAAGAAGCAGUGGCACUGGUGUCGACAUUCACCCAAUUUCUUUUUCUUACACUGAGGCAGCCAGCACACCUCAAACAGCCACCUUGACUGUGGGUGUGUCAGUAGAUUCCUGUUGUACAUAUGCUCAUAAUAAACUUCAGUAAACUUGAA
rnacentral:lncRNA from 1 species